CCGAAGGGUUACUGCGGAGGACAUUAACGAGUAACAAAGGGGAGUUGUAGCUGGCCGUGAGGCAUGUGCACGCUCCUCGCUCAAUCCAACCUUUACCCCUGUGCACCUAUUGUAGGUUGGGUGGUCUGGUCUCAGGUCGCCCUCCCUAUGUUUCCCACAAACACCCCAUGUAGUAACAGAAUGUAAUCUGCGUCUGACGCACCUAAUAACAACUUUCAACAACGGAUCUCUUGGCUCUCGCAUCGAUGAAGAACGCAGCGAAAUGCGAUAAGUAAUGUGAAUUGCAGAAUUCAGUGAAUCAUCGAAUCUUUGAACGCACCUUGCGCUCCUUGGUAUUCCGAGGAGCAUGCCUGUUUGAGUGUCAUGAAAUUCUCAACCCUUCUGGCUUUGUUGUCUGGAUUGGGAUUGGACUUGGAGGUUUGCUGGCCAUUUGGGGUCGGCUCCUCUCUAAAUGCAUUAGCUGGACCUCGUUGUGGACUCUUGCUCGGUGUGAUAAUUGUCUACGCCGUCGUGGUGAAGCUGUGUGAGGGUUGGCUUCCAACCGUCUUCGGACAAUGUUUGACAUUUUGACCUCAAAUCAGGUAGGACUACCCGCUGAACUUAAGCAUAUCAAAAGGCCGGAAGGAAA
rnacentral:rRNA from 1 species